AUUGAACGCUGGCGGCAGGCCUAACACAUGCAAGUCGAGCGGAGCGGCGGACGGGUGAGUAAUGCCUAGGAAUCUGCCUGGUAGUGGGGGAUAACGUCCGGAAACGGGCGCUAAUACCGCAUACUAUCAGAUGAGCCUAGGUCGGAUUAGCUAGUUGGUGGGGUAAAGGCCUACCAAGGCGACGAUCCGUAACUGGUCUGAGAGGAUGAUCAGUCACACUGGAACUGAUACACGGUCCAGACUCCUACGGGAGGAGUCAGUGGGUAAUAUUGGAAAAUGGGCGAAAGCGUGAUCAAUCCAUGCCGCGGUUGGGAUGAAGGUCUUCGUAUUGUAAAGCACUUUAAGUUGGGAGGCGUUACCAACAGAAUAAGCACAGGCUAACAUCGUGCCAGCAGCCGCGGUAAUAC
rnacentral:rRNA from 1 species